GAUGAACGCUGGCGGCGUGCCUAAUACAUGCAAGUCGAGCGAACAGACGAGGAGCUUGCUCCUCUGACGUUAGCGGCGGACGGGUGAGUAACACGUGGAUAACCUACCUAUAAGACUGGGAUAACUUCGGGAAACCGGAGCUAAUACCGGAUAAUAUAUUGAACCGCAUGGUUCAAUAGUGAAAGACGGUUUUGCUGUCACUUAUAGAUGGAUCCGCGCCGCAUUAGCUAGUUGGUAAGGUAACGGCUUACCAAGGCAACGAUGCGUAGCCGACCUGAGAGGGGGAUCGGCCACACGGGAACUGAGACCGGGUCCAGACUCCUACGGGAGGCAGCAGUGGGGAAUCUUCCGCAAUGGGCGAAAGCCUGACGGAGCAACGCCGCGUGAGUGAUGAAGGUCUUCGGAUCGUAAAACUCUGUUAUUAGGGAAGAACAAAUGUGUAAGUAACUAUGCCCGUCUUGACGGUACCUAAUCAGAAAGCCACGGCUAACUACGU
rnacentral:rRNA from 1 species